AUCAGGUCACCGGGCAACACACGUCGCUGUCUUCGUGUACCAUGGCCAAGGUGCCAGAAUAAUGUUUUUCCCCGUAAAACUCCAUGGAGCAAUUAUAGAAGGUUAGCACCAUCAAUAGUCCUUCAUGAAACAUUGCCUCCGGCCAUGUCGAUCACCAUAAAGUUUCAGCUUCAGCGGGUUGCGGAUCGAUGAUCGCAGCCAUGUACUCACAUCUGACCAUAGAAGCACCGAGCAGCAUGCAACAUGACAUGGAGCAGGUUCUGAUUACCAUUGUACUAGGGAAAAUUAUGUUGAUUGAUGCUGCACGUUCGUAAAGCUGUCUUUUUCAGUUAUUCAUUUUUGGAAGGGCAUCGAGGAAAACCUGGAUCUAUAUACAACAUAUCAUCACGUACUGCAUACAGACUUGGUAUAUAUAAAUAUAAGGAAGUUCUAUCUGCCUCCUAUAUAACAUUUACUUAUUCUUGAUCACGAUCGAUGUUGUGCAAUCAAGACUCACCGGCGAGAGCGUUCUUGGUUUUCUUGCCGAUCUCAUGAAUUCCGCAUCAUGCAUCAUGU